UACGAGAGGCGCAAACGUUAUUCGGAAUUACUGGGCGUAAAGGGCGCGUAGGCGCCUUCUAAGUCGAACGUGAAAUCCCCGGGCUCAACCCGGGAACUGCGUCCGAUACUGGAAGGCUUGAAUCCGGGAGAGGAUGCGGAAUUCCAGGUGUAGCGGUGAAAUGCGUAGAUAUCUGGAGGAACACCGGUGGCGAAGGCGGCAUCCUGGACCGGCAUUGACGCUGAGGCGCGGAAAGCCAGGGGAGCAAAGCGGG
rnacentral:rRNA from 1 species